GGUUCUCAGGGCGGGGUGCAAGUCCCCACCGGCGGUAAUGAUGCGGCGUGAAACGAGCGCCAGCCUCUCAGCCCGCGAGCGCUCGAAGGCGUCGCCUUCGAGGUCAGCAGAUUCGGUGAGAUUCCGAAGCCGACGGUGAUAGUCCGGAUGAAAGAGAACG
rnacentral:ncRNA from 1 species